rnacentral:lncRNA from 1 species
GCCAAGAGAGAUCUCUUCACACACCAACCUCUUUGUGAGCGAACAGGACACCAGCCCCACCCAAAAUACUGUUAACCAUUGACUGAAAGGCCAGAGGGGACACUGACAUCCUGUCAAUCUUCUAGAAGUGAAAUAAGGAGGGCUAACAUGGACACUGCUCUUCUUAUGUGCCAGGAACUGGGCUAAGUCUUUUACUUAAUCAAUUCAUUGAAUCCUCAUGAUGGCUCUGUCAGGUAAGUAUGAUUUUAAUCUGCAUCUGCAGAGGAGAUACAGAGAAGUUAUGUAAUUCUGCCUUGGGUCCUACAUUGUAGAGUUGAGCUUCCAACUCAGCCUUCCAACUUCAGUGUUCGGGCAUUUAACCCCGACCUAUGCUGCUGUGUGAUCCAAGGGAAGCAUUAAGCAAAAAAAGAUGCAAGUUCAAAAGAUGUUGAUUUUCAGAUGUAGGAUGAUUGGUUUGAAACAUUGUAGCCUGUUUCAGUCCCCCAGUGUCCAGCAGUAACUUCCUCCAAAUAACUCAAUAUAACCAUUCAGAUGGAUAUUUACUUACCUGAGCAGACUCAGAAUAAUGAAAAUCUGCCCUAUUUGGUGGAACAGAUAUUCUUUAUAACUUUUAUUUAUUUUUGACAUGCAUGUAUUGAAUUGCACUCUUAUGGUUUUAUCUAAUCCUUAUUGGCUAUAAAGCUGAUUUUACCCACAGUAGAUUUGUCAGGCAUGAUUCUUCUUAGAUUUGGUUGGAGUCAUGGUAAUGACACUUCCCCAAAGUUUCUUCAUCAGCAUUGGUAGGAAAAGAAGAAAUUCACUUGGCUGGUGACAAGCUAUGAGGAGCUUCAGGGGAGGUGCUGGAGAUUGGAGAAAGAACAGGAAGUACCCCCAUGUGUUCCUACACUACUGUGAGCUCCACUCAAGUAGAACAGAUCCCUGUCCUGGGAUGGAGUCCUUCCUAUACACUCUCAGAAUAGCCCUCCUCUCUUACCUUCAUUUACAUAAAAUAAAACUGAGUUUUCACUGAGGCUUUCAUAAGAGACACAGUAGAGACAUAUUUAUAACACCACUCAGAAUUUUACUUUUAAAUAAAUCACCCCUCAGAUUUGUUUCUUCUUUCUCAAAUUCUUCUCUGGACUUGUUUCUGGGUUUCAUAUCUUUCUGAAGAUCUCUCCCAUUAGGCCGCCUCCAGUUUCUUCCAUGUUUCCAGAAACUUCUCCCUUCCGUUUUCUCAUUUCUUACACAGAGCCAACAUUUCAGCAGUGAGAAUAAAAAGCCAUUAUACAAAGGUUGGCUUUGAACUCCAAACAAAAGAAAACAAAGAUAUCCCAAACUAUUUGAUUUCAUCCUCCCUAGAAUAUGGUAGGGCAAAAAUGUAAUUUUUCCCCACCACAAAAUGUAUUUCUUGUCACUUUCUAAAAAAAAAAAUAUUUAUUUUGUUAUAGAUAUAGGUGGAUACAAUACUUUUAUUUUAUUUUUAUGUGGUGCUGAGGAUCGAACCCAGUGCCUCGUGCAUGCUAGGUGAGCUCUACCGCUGAGCCACAAUCCCAGCCCUUUGUCACUUUUUUUAAACAUCUUAUAAGUAUUCAUUUAUAUGUGCUCAACUGGUGGAAAAAUAAAUUCUAUGUGUACAAGUCUUCCAUUGUAACUGAUACUUUUCUUCAAAGCCCAAAAUUUUGAAAAGUAGAAUUAUCUUAAGAACAGGCUGCAGUUGUUCCAAGGGCCUGAUGAGAUCUAGCCCUGAUUAUUAUGCAAAGACUGCAUCUUAAAGAAACAAAUCAUGUUUGGCUUCACCAAACUAAUCAUAAUCCAGGCUUUUAUUUCCCUGUUUCCUGGGAAUAUUGACCUGGUUUCAAAGAAAAGUUUCAAAUAUAUUUUAAGUAAUAACUACAUCAUUGCAAUAAGUGUAGAGCCUUGGGUAAAGUCUGGAUAUGCACAACACAAAUUUGGAUGUAUAGAUUUCUUUGUGCUUUUUAAUAACACCAUCAGUCCUUUUAACUAUGGUCACCCCUCAUAGGUUGCACAUUCCCUAUGGGCACUGAAAUUAAAGAAGAGGUAAAAUACAUCAUCAUUUGCUGUUUGGAUCUAGAAGGGAACAGAGUAAAGAGUAUAAAAGCAUGUAAGUAUUACCAGGAACAGAAAAAAAAUCAUUAAAAAAUUCAUAACCAAUUAGGUGUCUGCAUGCACGCUAAUUACUAUCUGCUAGAGGUGUGCCAUCGAGAAUGGCAGGCUUGUCUAUGUGAAUGGGGAAAGUGUGAAUGAGUGAGCAUGCUUGUUCGUAGGUAGAACAAAUUCUUAUCUCACAGGUUCAAAUUCUCCAGGCUCAUGAAUAUGACACAUUAAUAUUCAUUAAGUGGAACACAUUAUCAUUUUAGAAGGAGAUUACUGGGGACUCACUAUUUUCAUUCCAUCACAUUUUCCAAUUAGGAAUCCCACUUUUGCAAAUAAUCAGCUUUCUGUUGCCAAGGGCUUUUCAGCUGCUUUCUGGCAAGGGGGUUUGGAGCUAAGUUCAGCAUCCAUUUAAGAAUGAGGAAAAAAACCUGAAGUACAAUUAUAUGUUUUAAUGACAGGUUAAUCUUGCUGCGGUGAACCUGAUCAGAGAAGAACCAAACUCAGAAAGGAGAAGGCAUGAACUCCUUUUGGGGAAAAGGAGCACAGAUAAUGAAGCUUGAGGAGUUCACAGUUUUACUGGUCGCCUGCAGUUACAGAGAAAUAAAACUCACCCUGUAAAGAUCUUGGAACUCUCAUUGAUCCAGGAGAAGCCAUGUAAAAGGAGACCUAGGGCUAUGGAAAUGAACCAAGUUCAGGGUUGACAACCAUCCAUGAAGGCUGAUAACAGCAGGGAAGGAAACAAUGAACGAAUGUGUGCAUUUCCUCCAGAUUUGGAGGAAAGUUAGACAAUUUUGUUAGGCUUUAUGAUUUUGUUAAUGAAUUAACCAGAAGAAACAGUAGUCAAAGACCAAUUUGAUUUUGAAAAGAGCCAAAUAAAUUUGGAAUAAACUGUUUUGAUA